ensembl:lncRNA
AUUUAAAUGCUAAAGGGCAGCUCCUCUACUGAAGGCAACUGAAGCCAAGAGAGCUGUGACAGUUUAUGCCAACUGAAGAUUUGCCUUUAAGUAAAUGUUUUAAACUUUUCACUAAGGAGACUAAAAUAAGCCAUAGCAUGAAACGUUAAGAGUAAAGAAUGAACUCUGGAGACCAGAGGGAUUUGGGAAAUGAAAUGAGAUCCAUCUUACUGGCACAUUUCCCCCUCCGUCUAUUUUUGGAAUUUAAAAAAUUCCCCCAGAUUUGUCUUCUACAGACCAGCUUUUUGUUCACAGACCAGCACUGAGCAGCCUCCUCUUUCACACAGGGCAGCUAUGCAACUUGCAACCAGAUAUGAGAUGAACAGGAAGAUUUGUAGUUGGUGAGCAAGUUGUGAUCAACCCAACUCCUCUGCAGAAUGCUGUGAUGCUCACCAUGACUGGGCAUACUGAUACGCUUUGUGAAAACUAAACUAGGAACACCUGCAGAGCCCCCUGGUGAGCCCCAGUGGAGGGGCUCUGAACUGAAGAGGAACACAUCUAAUGAUGCCCUGAAGUUUAGUCUGAGUAUCUCCAAAUGGAGCAUAGCUGGAAAAACAAAUCAUCUGGGGAAUGCAUUGUCUGGUUGCACAGGCCACAGCUCCAAACAGGAUGUAGUGAAGCUGCAUGGGAAACUGAUCCAGCUGUGCUACAGGAUGGAGCAGGUUCAAGUGUGUCAGCUCCUGGUCUGAAUGUGGGAACAGCAGAAACACGCUGUGUAGGUGGCUUACACUGUGUAGCCAGUGAACGUGCCUGCAGAUACAUGGGCAAUACCAGCAACAAAGGCUACUUCCUUACCAGCCCACGCACAAAUCUGUUCCACGCUCCGCAUGGGAAGAGGCAGCAGCAUCGCGGAUGAGCGAAGGCUGCAGGGUGCUGAUAUUUGGGUGAAAAUCCACACCCCACUGUGUUAUUCAUCCCUCACCAGUCCUCCAAAAUCUCCUCCCCCAGGAUAGUUUUUUGGACAGCAUCGGGAUAAAUUCUGCUGGAGGAUGGCAGAACAGGCCAAGGAGUGAGUCAAAAAUACCCACUCGUUUGAGGGAAUGAAGUAGUGUGGAAGGACUGGGUGCUAUUAAGUUGAAAGCUGUUUGUGUAGCACGGCUGCCUAACAAACAACCCUUUCAAAAUCUCUGAAUAAGAAUAAUGAUAUUUACUCCAAUCUUGUAGACACAGCCUUGCUCUCUUCCCAAAGCGAGGGCAAGGUCUAUGCACAGCCAGCUUCUCUGUGGGAAAGGAGAUCUGUUCAGCGCCAACGUGAACGUUGCCAGAAUGGGGUUCACAGUUGCAUGAUAGGAACACAGCAGUACUGGGCUGGGGGGAUUUGAUGCAAGCACUAACCUACUUAAUCCACUGGAGACUGCCUGGCUGUUCUUGUCUGCUUGCCAGAAGGGCUCUCAUGUCUGUGCCUCACUGCAGGGAUGCCCUGUGUUAGUUCCUCUUCCAUUUUUCACUUCUAUUUUUCACCUAGGAAACCUCCUUACGCAGGACUGAAUGUCCUUGAAAGCAUCAGUUAUAACAAACAACCAGGGGCAGAUCUCAGACGAAUGCUGCACAAGUCAGAGGUCACAGCUGGAACUGCUUUUAGGGGAAAUUCAAAAUUACUGUCAAAAGCAGUUCUCUCUCAUUUUAAUUGUAAUUGGUUAAUCUCAUUUUAUUUGCCUUGUGGCUAUGGCUGUGAAGCUUAGGAAACUCUCGGGGCCCCUGCUCUGCUCUCAGUUACCCUGG